AGUAACGCGUGAGGAACCUGCCUCAAAGAGGGGGACAACAGUUGGAAACGACUGCUAAUACCGCAUAAGCCCACAGCUCGGCAUCGAGCAGAGGGAAAAGGAGUGAUCCGCUUUGAGAUGGCCUCGCGUCCGAUUAGCUAGUUGGUGAGGUAAUGGCCCACCAAGGCGACGACCGGUAGCCGGACUGAGAGGUUGAACGGCCACAUUGGGACUGAGACACGGCCCAG
rnacentral:rRNA from 1 species